AGGGGCAUAGCUCAACUGGCAGAGCGUUGGUCUCCAAAACCAAAGGUUGGGGGUUCGAUUCCCUCUGCCCCUG
rnacentral:tRNA from 1 species